UUGGCUUAGAAGCAGCCAUCAUUUAAAGAAAGCGUAAUAGCUCACUGGUCGAGUCGGCCUGCGCGGAAGAUGUAACGGGGCUAAACCAUGCACCGAAGCUGCGGCAGCGAACGUAUCACCCAAGACAACUUUACGGAGUUGACGAUUGACGGAGCGAAGCGACGUCAAAGCGUUCAUUAAAGUCGAGUUGGCUUAGGGAUACGUUCGUUGGGUAGGGGAGCGUUCUGUAAGCCUGUGAAGGUGUGUCGUGAGGCAUGCUGGAGGUAUCAGAAGUGCGAAUGCUGACAUAAGUAACGAUAAAGCGGGUGAAAAGCCCGCUCGCCGGAAGACCAAGGGUUCCUGUCCAACGUUAAUCGGGGCAGGGUGAGUCGACCCCUAAGGCGAGGCCGAAAGGCGUAGUCGAUGGGAAACGGGUUAAUAUUCCCGUACUUGGUGUUACUGCGAAGGGGGGACGGAGAAGGCUAUGUUGGCCGGGCGACGGUUGUCCCGGUUUAAGCGUGUAGGUGUGUGUUCCAGGUAAAUCCGGUUCACUUUAACACUGAGGCGUGACGACGAGGCACUACGGUGCUGAAGCAACAAAUGCCCUGCUUCCAGGAAAAGCCUCUAAGCAUCAGGUAACACGAAAUCGUACCCCAAACCGACACAGGUGGUCAGGUAGAGAAUACCAAGGCGCUUGAGAGAACUCGGGUGAAGGAACUAGGCAAAAUGGUGCCGUAACUUCGGGAGAAGGCACGCUGACACGUAGGUGAAGUGAUUUACUCAUGGAGCUGAAGUCAGUCGAAGAUACCAGCUGGCUGCAACUGUUUAUUAAAAACACAGCACUGUGCAAACACGAAAGUGGACGUAUACGGUGUGACGCCUGCCCGGUGCCGGAAGGUUAAUUGAUGGGGUCAGCGUAAGCGAAGCUCCUGAUCGAAGCCCCGGUAAACGGCGGCCGUAACUAUAACGGUCCUAAGGUAGCGAAAUUCCUUGUCGGGUAAGUUCCGACCUGCACGAAUGGCGUAAUGAUGGCCAGGCUGUCUCCACCCGAGACUCAGUGAAAUUGAACUCGCUGUGAAGAUGCAGUGUACCCGCGGCAAGACGGAAAGACCCCGUGAACCUUUACUAUAGCUUGACACUGAACAUUGAGCCUUGAUGUGUAGGAUAGGUGGGAGGCUUUGAAGUGUGGACGCCAGUCUGCAUGGAGCCGACCUUGAAAUACCACCCUUUAAUGUUUGAUGUUCUAACGUGGACCCGUAAUCCGGGUUGCGGACAGUGUCUGGUGGGUAGUUUGACUGGGGCGGUCUCCUCCUAAAGAGUAACGGAGGAGCACGAAGGUUGGCUAAUCCUGGUCGGACAUCAGGAGGUUAGUGCAAUGGCAUAAGCCAGCUUGACUGCGAGCGUGACGGCGCGAGCAGGUGCGAAAGCAGGUCAUAGUGAUCCGGUGGUUCUGAAUGGAAGGGCCAUCGCUCAACGGAUAAAAGGUACUCCGGGGAUAACAGGCUGAUACCGCCCAAGAGUUCAUAUCGACGGCGGUGUUUGGCACCUCGAUGUCGGCUCAUCACAUCCUGGGGCUGAAGUAGGUCCCAAGGGUAUGGCUGUUCGCCAUUUAAAGUGGUACGCGAGCUGGGUUUAGAACGUCGUGAGACAGUUCGGUCCCUAUCUGCCGUGGGCGCUGGAGAACUGAGGGGGGCUGCUCCUAGUACGAGAGGACCGGAGUGGACGCAUCACUGGUGUUCGGGUUGUCAUGCCAAUGGCACUGCCCGGUAGCUAAAUGCGGAAGAGAUAAGUGCUGAAAGCAUCUAAGCACGAAACUUGCCCCGAGAUGAGUUCUCCCUGAGACUUAGAGUCUCCUGAAGGAACGUUGAAGACGACGACGUUGAUAGGCCGGGUGUGUAAGCGCAGCGAUGCGUUGAGCUAACCGGUACUAAUGAACCGUGAGGCUUAACCUUACA
rnacentral:rRNA from 1 species